GAGGGGGACACAGCCUUCAUCAGAACCCGUGGGUGACACCAGGCAGGCUCCUGCACUGUGUGCUGAGGCCCAGUCCCCAUGGGAAAUCCCAUGGGACAGGCCCUGAGACAUCACUGUGGCUUCCUGGAUCCUGCUUACCAUGGACAGUGAUUUCACUCAAGUGAUUCCUGCAUUCUACAGCUGGGCAGAUUUGGCCUCUGCUGCAAGAACAAUGACACAGCAACAUGACCUGAAAGCUAAAAUAACACAGGACAGACUCUCUCCAGGACAAACCAGAGCAGCUCUAGGAUGUUGAGGAUGCUAAGCCCAUACAUAGCAGUCAAGAUGUGGCCCACCCUGAAGAAGACAACACAGAACCUCAAUAACACAGUGAGAACCUCCAGUGAGUCCGCAGCACACCAAGCAAGCAAUACCCUUCUGCUGGAAUCACCCCUAAAGGUCAUGGAAGUCCUGCAGCAGCAAAUAAAUGGGCAGAGCAGCACAAAGCUGAACAUCUGCUUGAAGGUUGAGAGUAGUGAAAUGGAGCCCCUAAUGUCUUCUGAUGGAGAAAGAACCUUUUCCUGAUUGAGAUAAAAGGGGAUCUCUGUGAGAAUGUGUAGUUGUCAUUAGGAUUAUUCCCUCCAGUUUCCAGGUUUACUUAAACCAAAUGUUCUCCAUGCAUUCUACUAUACUGCAAAAAGCAGAUGGUACAUAUGCUCAAAGAAAACCAGAUAUAAAGGGCUUGUCUAG